rnacentral:lncRNA from 1 species
UCACUUCGUUCUACAGGUCCAGUUCCAAUGUUCAUGAUGCUCCAGUGUGUCUGGGAGACAGAGAUGAGAGACUACAAACAGGAGACAUUUUAAGAAGCUUCCUGGAGCUUUUGGUGAUUCUGUUCUGUUCUCCUCUUCAAAAUGUUGCUUUAUGUGGAUCUCAGUACCCAUCAGACACCCAAAAACAUGUGCUGGAAGAAACAUGUCAAGGACUGACAGCAACUCAAUGGCAAACUGAUGGAAGUUUCCCCAAAUGGUCAAGUGGAUGUGUACUGAAUGAGAUGUGGAAAGUGUACUGACAUCAGAGUAUUUCCUAGAACUCUACUAUUCAUAUAGUGUAGAAAAUUAUUUGUCUGUCUUUCAGAAAAUGUCUUCCUUACAAAAGAUAAAAAAAAGUUUCCUUUUAAAUAUGCAGUGAAUUCUUUAGGUUGUAUAUAAAGUGAAAAGGCUCUCCUUUUUUAUUAUACAGUGAACCUAGCAGAUGUAUUGCACUCUGGCUUUUGUUUGUUUGGGUUUUUUUCCCCCCAUUUGCACUGUGAUUUUAAAGCAAUAAGCCUUUCCAGCUUUUCUGUU